CCUAAACCGACACAGGUGGACUGGUAGAGAAUACCAAGGCGCUUGAGAGAACCACAUUUAAGGAACUCGGCAAAAUACCUCCGUAAGUUCGCGAGAAGGAGGCCCCGUUUGUACGCAAGUAUGGGCGGGGGGCACAAACCAGGGGGUGGCGACUGUUUACUAAAAACACAGGGCUCUGCGAAGCCGUAAGGCGACGUAUAGGGUCUGACGCCUGCCCGGUGCCGGAAGGUUAAAAGGAGAUGUGCAAGCAUUGAAUUGAAGCCCCGGUAAACGGCGGCCGUAACUAUAACGGUCCUAAGGUAGCGAAAUUCCUUGUCGGGUAAGUUCCGACCUGCACGAAUGGCGUAACGACUUCCCCGCUGUCUCAAAUGUGGACUCAGCGAAAUUGAAUUGUCUGUGAAGAUGCAGACUUCCCGCGGUUAGACGGAAAGACCCCAUGCACCUUUACUAUAGCUUCGCACUGGCAUCAGGAUUGUGAUGUGCAGGAUAGGUGGUAGGCAUUGAAACCGGGACGCCAGUUCCGGUGGAGCCAUCCUUGAGAUACCACCCUUCGCACUCUUGAUGUCUAACCGCGGCCCGUUAUCCGGGUCCGGGACCCUGCGUGGUGGGUAGUUUGACUGGGGCGGUCGCCUCCCAAAGAGUAACGGAGGCGCGCGAAGGUUGGCUCAGAGCGGUCGGAAAUCGCUCGUUGAGUGCAAUGGCAGAAGCCAGCCUGACUGCAAGACUGACAAGUCGAGCAGAGACGAAAGUCGGCCAUAGUGAUCCGGUGGUCCCGAGUGGAAGGGCCAUCGCUCAACGGAUAAAAGGUACGCUGGGGAUAACAGGCUGAUGAUGCCCAAGAGUCCAUAUCGACGGCAUCGUUUGGCACCUCGAUGUCGGCUCAUCUCAUCCUGGGGCUGGAGCAGGUCCCAAGGGUAUGGCUGUUCGCCAUUUAAAGAGGUACGUGAGCUGGGUUUAGAACGUCGUGAGACAGUUCGGUCCCUAUCUGCCGUGGGUGUAGGAUACUUGAGAGGAGUUGCCCCUAGUACGAGAGGACCGGGGUGAACGUUCCACUGGUGGACCAGUUGUCGUGCCAACGGCAGUGCUGGGUAGCUAUGAACGGACAGGAUAAACGCUGAAGGCAUCUAAGCGUGAAGCCCCCCUCAAAACAAGGUAUCCCUUGAGAGCCGUGGAAGACCACCACGUCGAUAGGCCGGAGAUGUAAGCGCAGCAAUGCGUUCAGUUGACCGGUACUAAUGGCUCGAUUGGCUUGAUUUG
rnacentral:rRNA from 1 species